rnacentral:rRNA from 1 species
CUAAUACAUGCAAGUCGAGCGAAUGGAUUAAGAGCUUGCUCUUAUGAAGUUAGCGGCGGACGGGUGAGUAACACGUGGGUAACCUGCCCAUAAGACUGGGAUAACUCCGGGAAACCGGGGCUAAUACCGGAUAAUAUUUUGAACCGCAUGGUUCGAAAUUGAAAGGCGGCUUCGGCUGUCACUUAUGGAUGGACCCGCGUCGCAUUAGCUAGUUGGUGAGGUAACGGCUCACCAAGGCAACGAUGCGUAGCCGACCUGAGAGGGUGAUCGGCCACACUGGGACUGAGACACGGCCCAGACUCCUACGGGAGGCAGCAGUAGGGAAUCUUCCGCAAUGGACGAAAGUCUGACGGAGCAACGCCGCGUGAGUGAUGAAGGCUUUCGGGUCGUAAAACUCUGUUGUUAGGGAAGAACAAGUGCUAGUUGAAUAAGCUGGCACCUUGACGGUACCUAACCAGAAAGCCACGGCUAACUACGUGCCAGCAGCCGCGGUAAUACGUAGGUGGCAAGCGUUAUCCGGAAUUAUUGGGCGUAAAGCGCGCGCAGGUGGUUUCUUAAGUCUGAUGUGAAAGCCCACGGCUCAACCGUGGAGGGUCAUUGGAAACUGGGAGACUUGAGUGCAGAAGAGGAAAGUGGAAUUCCAUGUGUAGCGGUGAAAUGCGUAGAGAUAUGGAGGAACACCAGUGGCGAAGGCGACUUUCUGGUCUGUAACUGACACUGAGGCGCGAAAGCGUGGGGAGCAAACAGGAUUAGAU